AUCCAGUCGAUGAGUCCCAAACAAGACAAAAUGCGUAUCCUGGAU
rnacentral:hammerhead_ribozyme from 1 species